GGGCGCGGGCGCGGGCGCGGGGUGGGUUGGGGGCGCGGAUCAGCGGGACGGAGCUCGGUGUUCGGCUCCGAGCGGGUGGGCUGGAAGUGGGGGAUCCCUCAGCCGCCUCCACGGGCCGGCCCCGCGCUCACGUCGGUUCCGGGGCGGAUGACCCCUCUCCAAACGGCGCAGCACUGCGGCUCUCUCGUCUCUGCCUUGAAUCUUGGAAACAAGUGCUUUCAACAUAAGCAAUGCGAAGGCAUUAAAACAUGUUGAAUGGCUGUGUGCACAGGAUAUCCUACACCUGCCUGACAUCUGGAAUGCAGGUGAAUCAACCUGACCUGAUGGAGCCACCCACACUUUAGAAGAAUCUCAACUACAGCCAACCCUGAUCUUCCUCAGUUGAAAAUCAUCCAUCUACCAAACUCACAAAUUAAACAUGAUUUUUAUGAUAUUUA